rnacentral:rRNA from 1 species
AUUGAACGCUGGCGGCAUGCCUUACACAUGCAAGUCGAACGGCAGCACGGGAGCAAUCCUGGUGGCGAGUGGCGAACGGGUGAGUAAUAUAUCGGAACGUGCCCAGUCUGGGGGAUAACGUAGCGAAAGCUACGCUAAUACCGCAUACGAUCUAUGGAUGAAAGCGGGGGGAUCGCAAGACCUCGCGCGAUUGGAGCGGGCCGAUAUCAGAUUAGGUAGUUGGUGAGGUAAAGGCUCACCAAGCCGACGAUCUGUAGCUGGUCUGAGAGGACGACCAGCCACACU